UCAUAAGAUCUAUUCAACAUCAAUGCACCAGAUCUCAUAAGAUCUCUGCAGUUAAAUGUGUUUGGGCUAGAAUAGUACUAAGAUGUAUGUCCUCUCGGGGAAGACUAGUUGCAUAUCAG
rnacentral:rRNA from 1 species